GCAACCUAGGAUUAUUAUUAUUUUCCCAAGUAUGUGAGUCCAAUAUUUCUAAUUCAUCAAUCAACAAACAUGUGCAAGAAAAUAAGAAAUUCAUGACAUUUCGCCUGCGCAGAAGACCUCAUCAAAUUCCUUUAGAAUGAAAUUCCGAAACAUUAUGUCCACAUAGACACAUUAGUCUUAUUUAGCAUCAAAGGACAAGGACGCGAUCAUGGAAAGUAGAUUUAAUAUCUUCAGUUAAACUGCUCUUGAAUGCAACUAGUCUAGGCCACCCUAGUAAUAGCAGCAUGCAUGGCAUCAGCAAGAUGAGGAACUGUCCGAGAACUAAGACCUGCCAUGCUAAUUCUCCCAUCAGAUGUCAUGUAAAUG
rnacentral:misc_RNA from 1 species